AUUGAACGCUGGCGGCAGGCCUAACACAUGCAAGUCGAGCGGAUGAAGGGAGCUUGCUCCUGGAUUCAGCGGCGGACGGGUGAGUAAUGCCCAGGAAUCUGCCUGGUAGUGGGGGAUAACGUCCGGAAACGGGCGCUAAUACCGCAUACGUCCUGAGGGAGAAAGUGGGGGAUCUUCGGACCUCACGCUAUCAGAUGAGCCUAGGUCGGAUUAGCUAGUUGGUGGGGUAAAGGCCUACCAAGGCGACGAUCCGUAACUGGUCUGAGAGGAUGAUCAGUCACACUGGAACUGAGACACGGUCCAGACUCCUACGGGAGGCAGCAGUGGGGAAUAUUGGACAAUGGGCGAAAGCCUGAUCCAGCCAUGCCGCGUGUGAAGAAGGUCUUCGGAUUGUAAAGCACUUUAAGUUGGGAGGAAGGGCAGUAAGUUAAUACCUUGCUGUUUUGACGUUACCAACGGAAUAAGCACCGGCUAACUUCGUG
rnacentral:rRNA from 1 species